AAUGCAUAUGGCACCUUUUGGUCACACUAAAAGGCAUGCCUGUUUGAGAAUCAUUUACCCUCUUGAUCCACUGAUCACUUGGUUGAUUGGAUGGUGUCAGACAUGGACAUUCAUCAGUGAUUGUCUCGAAUUGUGCGUGAUUGUGUCGUGAUAGAAUGGCGUUGCUGUUGUGAUCGACCAGUCAUCUUGUCCUCGAUGAUCUCAAAUCAGGCAAGACUACCCGCUGAACUUAA
rnacentral:misc_RNA from 1 species